CCUACGGGUGGCAGCAGUGAGGAAUAUUGGUCAAUGGGCGCGAGCCUGAACCAGCCAAGUCGCGUGAGGGAAGACUGCCCUAUGGGUUGUAAACCUCUUUUGUCAGGGAGCAACGCCGGCUACGUGUAGCCGGACUGAGAGUACCUGAAGAAAAAGCAUCGGCUAACUCCGUGCCAGCAGCCGCGGUAAUACGGAGGAUGCGAGCGUUAUCCGGAUUGAUUGGGUUUAAAGGGUGCGUAGGCGGAAUGCCAAGUCAGCGGUAAAAUCGCGGGGCUCAACCUCGCUCCGCCGUUGAAACUGGCGUUCUUGAGUGGGCGAGAAGUAUGCGGAAUGCGUGGUGUAGCGGUGAAAUGCAUAGAUAUCACGCAGAACUCCGAUUGCGAAGGCAGCAUACCGGCGCCCAACUGACGCUGAAGCACGAAAGCGUGGGUAUCGAACAGGAUUAGAUACCCUAGUAGUC
rnacentral:rRNA from 1 species